CUGGCACUGAAUCAAGGCCAGCAGCUGCCCGGUGCUGUUGGUUUCAAGUAGGAGCCUAAAGAGAUGUCCUUCUAUGGUCUGUUGGCCAUUUCAGAAGUUGUGCAGUGAAAUAGUCAAUUCAUUGGAAAGAAACAGCU
ensembl:snoRNA small nucleolar RNA SNORA2/SNORA34 family